GGGCGGUUGGCGCAGUGGUAGCGCACUUCCCUGACACGGAAGGGGUCACAAGUUCG
rnacentral:tRNA from 2 species